rnacentral:rRNA from 1 species
CCUACGGGUGGCAGCAGUGGGGAAUAUUGCACAAUGGGGGAAACCCUGAUGCAGCGACGCCGCGUGAGUGAAGAAGUAUUUCGGUAUGUAAAGCUCUAUCAGCAGGGAAGAAAAUGACGGUACCUGACUAAGAAGCCCCGGCUAACUACGUGCCAGCAGCCGCGGUAAUACGUAGGGGGCAAGCGUUAUCCGGAUUUACUGGGUGUAAAGGGAGCGUAGACGGCCAGACAAGUCAGAAGUGAAAUCCCAGGGCUCAACCCUGGGACUGCAUUUGAAACUGUUGAGCUGGAGUACAGGAGAGGCAGGCGGAAUUCCUAGUGUAGCGGUGAAAUGCGUAGAUAUUAGGAGGAACACCAGUGGCGAAGGCGGUCUGCUGGACAGCAACUGACGGUGAGGCGCGAAAGCGUGGGGAGCAAACAGGAUUAGAUACCCGAGUAGUC